rnacentral:rRNA from 1 species
UACGUAGGUGGCAAGCGUUGUCCGGAUUUACUGGGCGUAAAGCGUGCGCAGGCGGUUUUGUAAGCCAGAUGUGAAAGCCCCGGGCUCAACCUGGGAAUGGCAUUUGGGACUGCAAGGCUUGAGUGCGGCAGAGGAGACUGGAAUUCCUGGUGUAGCGGUGAAAUGCGCAGAUAUCAGGAGGAACACCAAUGCGAGGGCAGCUCGCUGGAACGUAACUGACGCUGAGACGCGAAAGCGUGGGGAGCAAACAGG